UGGGGCAGGUGUGACCAGCUGUGCUUGGGAGUGUCAGGGCAGCCUUUAUUCAGAAAUGACUUGUCUUGAAGUCAAACCUGGGUGUGGGACUUUCUGAGGAGCACUGAAGAAAUAUUAAUGGAACUUUUCAAACAUCAUGUUUCCUUAGCAUCCAUGGCUUUGAAUUCUCAAUCCGAGCUGGGCUUCUGUGAGACGGGAUUCUACUUCAAGCUGGCAAAGCAUGGAUUCCUGUGUGUAUAAGGAGGAAGGGCCCUUUGAAGGUCAUCCCAGACAUCAAACAGAUCUGGUCAAAUUAGAGGCAGAGAUACUGAGGCAGAGAUGCUGAUUGUUUGAUCCUUGACUUGGAGGCCUAAAGGCAUUGACUGAGGGCAUGAGAAAUGUGAGCUGGACAGUGGAUGUUAUCCUGGGCUUCUGAUGGAGUUCUAAAGCCCUAUGGCAUGUUGCCCAUCUGCCUCACCUCCCAUUUGUCUUGUUCCUUGCUGCCAAUGAACAUAUUAGCCAUGGGUAAUUGAGCAUGUUACAUGUGGAGUAUCAUCAAGAUGGUACUUGUGUCCAUGACCUCAUUUAACCUCCUUGGAAAGAGACCUUCUCACCUCUAUGAUACAGGUGAGAAGACUGGGGUUCAUCGAUAUUCAGCAACUUGCCAUGAUGCCAUAGUCAUCAGUAUCAAGGUGAGAUUCAGCUCUGGGGCCUCUAAAAGCCAGGCAGUAUUUCUUGGAGCUGCUUGCCACUCUCUUUUGCAUCUGAGCUACUUGCUUCUGGUCCCACCCUUUAAUUUUACCUGUGCUGUAUCCCUGCCUCCACUCCUCAGCCCGAUUUUCUGCCUCCCCACCCACCACCAUACCCCCAAAUCUUCCAUAAGUGUCCCUCUGCACAACAGCCUUGCCCUUCUGUGAAGUUUCUUCUCAAACAUUGAGUAACUACCACAUGCUAGGCUCCGGGGUAGGUGUUUUCACAUGUGGCUUGGCUUUAGACCCCAUGUAAACUUGAGAGAUGGACCAGAAGGCAAGCCCCCACCACCCAUUAAAAAAAAGUGGAGGCUGAAUUCACAGAGUCCAACUGACAUGCCGAACAUCAUAUCCAUGUAAGUGAUGAGAGCAAGCCUUGGAUCCAGCUCUGUCUUCCUCUCCAAGACAAAAUUCACUGCUGCGUCCUCUGUGAUCCUCUCACAGCUUUGCUUUGUUUCAGAGAAACAAAUGCCACCAUGGGGUGUGGCAUUCAUAGAUAAUAUAUCUUUGAACAGUGAGUGAAUAAAUGAAUGAGUGUAUGUUAGAGAGGAGAAAGCACAUGGAUUCUGAAAUUGGAUGCUGGGGCUCAAACACAGACUCUGCCAUUUGCUAGUCAUGGGAUCGUGGAUAGGCGCGCUUACCCUCUGUCUCACUGGCUGGGAUGGAGCCACCUGCAGAUCUAUGGCCAGUCACUAGCAAAGUUCUGAAAAUGGUCCAAACUGCCUCUCAUUUGAAUAUCUGCCAUAUCCUUUAUGACAGAGAUACACAGUGUAGCUCUAUUAUUAUUACUGAUUUAUCAUCAUCAUCAUCAUCAUCAUCAUCAUCAUCAUCAUCAGCAUCUCAAUUGUCACUCAAAGAUUUGUCUAUAGAUGCCCAUUCUCUAAACCUCCUAACCAACCAGCUUUCAAGUGGAGAAAUAAUGUAGAUGCAGAAAAAGAACCACAGAGAAUGUGCAUAAUCCAAGAUCACAGAGCUAUGGAGUAUCUGGCCAAGAUGGGUCCUCCAUGCCAGAAAGCAAACAGAUUUUAGGACACAUCACCUGGAAGUGCUCUCCUGAAAUUUUACUUCCCUGUAUUUCGACUCCAUCAAGCCAAACAGCAAAGUCAAGACAGUCUUGCUCUUUAAAAAAAAGACUUGAUUUGAAAAGCCCCAGAGAGAAGGAGUUAACUGUCUCUCUAUUUUUUUUCCCUUAAGGCAUAAACAGGC